rnacentral:ncRNA from 1 species
UAGAGUAGAUAAGAUGCGUUAAGUGUAAAAAGAUGGGAAGUAGCUUUUUAACGAAAUUUCACGAUGUCUUAUCGCUUCCGCU